rnacentral:lncRNA from 1 species
UUGUUUUUUUUAUUUUCUUUUUAAUUUCAGAAUUUAUAUUUAAUUGCUUUAUUUUGUUUAAUUCAUAAUAAUUUCAUUUUUAAUCCAAAAAAUAUGGGACUUUCACCAAAAAUAUUUUUGGAUUUUUCUCUUUUAUAUUCUGAAUUAAAAUUAUUUUUCGGAUUAAUUUUGAUAUUUUUCAUGAAUUAAAUAUUUUUGUGUAUGUUUUUAAUUGAUUAAAAAUACUUCUGAUUUUUCAAAAGUGAUGAUUUUUU